UCACACUAUCAAGCUUGGCUUGUUGUUGGGCCCUUUGUCACCUGGUGACAGGUCCAAAAGACAAUAACCGGUGUCAUACGGACUCUAUAUGCAACGAGCUUAUCACAGCACGCAUCUGGCAGUCGUGUGGUCCGGUUUUCCCUUUGAUAUUUAUCAAUUGACAAAUAUAUUUCUCAA
rnacentral:misc_RNA from 1 species